UUUUUUUUUUUUUUUUGUAAAGGGAAAAUGGUAAUACCUAUCUCAUGGAGGUUAUUGUGAAGGUGAAAUGUGCAGGUAUGGGGUAUUUCAGAUUCAAGAUUUAUUUGUUCCUGUCCUUUGAUAGGACAGUGUGUUAUAUGAUCUGUUUGAAAAUACCUGGUCGGAGAUUUAGCUGGAGAGUGUGCUGUAUCCACUUUGUCCAUUUAUUCUUUCAUUGAUUCACUUGUUCAUUCACCAAGCCUUGGCCACUAAGUGUGUGACACUGGAUGGGUGUUGGGGAUACAGCCAUGCCCUGCCCUUGCCAGUGUAGUGGGGAUGCCUACCGCAAAUGCCAAUUACAUUCCAGUGUGGAUACUCACCACGCUGGGGGAAGUCAAGUGCUGUGGAAGCAUUUGGAGAGUCAGUCAACUUAGCUGGGGGAGGGUUCGGGAAAGCAUCCCCGAGGAUGGAGAGAAGAGAGCCAGGUGGAGGUGAGGCAGAGAGCAUAGAUGACACACGGUGGGUAAGGGGUUGGGGAUAAAGUGGCUCCGGUGGAUACUUUGGUAUGUCUGCAGUGUCAAGUAUGAGGGGAAAUACAGAGAUGGAUCCAGAGGUAUGGAGAGAACCCAAGCUUCCAGGGCCCAGGAUUGUCUCCCUGUUGGGAGUUCUGUCCCUCAGAUGUUGAUACAAUGGACGCUGUCAUCACCAAAGAGAAGGUGCUAGUGCAGUCCUCACAGUUAGAGUUAGAACCUGAACUACAUUCCCCCAUAGAAACAGCGUGUUAAAUGGUAGCUCCAUGUAGUUAGAAUACCCCUACAAAGAACACCUUCAAGUGCAUUUUAAACAAGUAAAAUAUAGAAAAAUAAGGGGAAACGGAUUCUGUUUCUAGGCUUGUCCUUUGUAACACAGAGCUCUGUACUUCUUGCUCUGGCCAUCUGAGCCUACACUGGAUCCACAGGUUGGCUCUGCGUGGCCCACGCUGUUUGGAUUUGCAAUGUCUGGUCCGGUGGGGGUCUCUCCUGAGUGCUUCUAUGGCUCCCUUGCUCCCUGCUGGUUGAUACCUGGCCCACUUCUUCACACUGAUGUUACCUAACUUGGCCCCUGGAGACAAUGAACGUGGGGACCCUUUCUCUAGGCAGCAGAGGCGAGAGAUAGUAUCAUCGUUUCUGUCUGAUUCAUCCUUGCUGUUAGUCCCUAUGUGAGGUCAAGCAUGAUAAUUGAGGCGGAGUUUGGAGGUGCCUUCUUGCUUUGCACCAAAUGCUGGUUUUUCUUUUCUCUUUCUCCAGUCCUCCUUCCUGUCUCUCAUUUUGUCCUGCCAAUACUUUUCUAGCUCCGUUAAAUUUAAUUCAGCAAAGGCAUAGGGGCCUGGCACUUAGCGGGCAGGGGCUAGAGAAGCACAGUGGUGACCAUAAGGAGUUUACAGUUUGGCACGAGGGGGUCGAGGACAGACAAGCGAAAGGUCCAGCUCUGUAAGGUUGGGGUCACAGCCCCACCGAGGCGGGGUCUACAAGAGUGUGGAGGAGGAGUACCUGAGCCACCUUGGAGACAGAAAGAGGCCUGAUGGGCCAGCAGGAAUUAGCUAGACAAACGUGCGUGCGCUCCAGGCAGGCACAGAGUAAAUAAAACAUGAGCCAAGGUCAGACACGUAGCAAGGUGCACUAAGGGGAGAUUGCAGGAGGGAGCCAAAGGCUGGGAGCAGAAAGGAGGAGGAGGUGCAAAGCCCUGAGAGCUGAGGAUGGAGAGGCCAGCUCCUGCCUUUCAGUCUCUCCCUAGAAGGGUUUUAGGGUAGUACUUAGCACCUCCUGGCAGCACUCUGAGCUGAGAUGGGCAUUGGUUUUUGUCCUCUGGAAAGUCUGUAUUUUUCAAAUGUUUCCUUAGAGGAAAGGGUCCCUGGAGAGUGGAGGGGCUGAGCCUGCAUUGGCAGGAAAAGUGGAUUAAAAGCAGGCCAAACCCAAAAUAGCUCCUGGGGUUGACCAGAUGGAAAUUAGAUUGCUGGCCUGUGUGGGUGUAACCCUGGGGAGGCCAGCCAAACGGUGAGAAGGGAAUGAUCCCUUCUAGAGAGUGUAGGAGACAAUGUUGUGGUCCGGGUCCUAACUCAACAAAUGUCACAAAAAGCAUAACCUAAGCAAGCCACAACUUUAAAAAAAGAUUCAAAAUGCAAAGGAUUUUCCAGCGCCUGUAGGAGAAAGCUUACUCUAAUAGUAGAUGAGUACCAAGAAGAUCACUGACUCUGCUGUUUAAAAUAUUAACACCUGGACUUGUUCGGGAAGUCACAGUCUAGAGGCAGCUUUCUACUCCUUCCUGCUGGCAAGAAUUUAAGAACCAAAGCCAUUCUCCUUAGGUUGCGGUCACUAGGCUUGUGGGUGUUCCAUUAGGAAAAGGUGCCCGGGCUUAGGAAGUGAGGCAGGGUGCUGUGGAAACAUGUAACACCUAUACCGUCUUGGCUUUCUUUUCAUAACUAUUUGGGGUGCUCAUUCAUGAUGCCAGCCUCUCAGCUGGCUCAGGGCUGCCCAGCAUCCCCACGGGCACCCCUGAGGCAGGCGGGUCUGAUUUCCUCUUCUGAAAGCUGCAGGAUGUAACAGCUCGGGUGUGAGGGUGUGAGCACUCCCCUCAUCCUUGUGAGAAGGACAGGCUUUGGGAAAGGAGGUUCAGACUUUCAGUAAACAGGACGGGCUUUCUUAAGCUUCUCGGAAACGCCUGGACCUGACACUUGUCAUCUGCUACUAAAUUUGGCCGUUUCAUUUUCCUUACUCAGGAUAUAUUGGCAACCAUGGCACACAUUCCGGGAUGAAGUUAGAUAAACAACUUGGCUGCUGAGGAUUUUUACCUGUUACGGCUCCAAGAAAUAUCCAGUGUUCUAAGCACGACUCAGGGCAAUUUCAACCAAAGUGUUAAGAAUAGAAAAGAUCAGUAGUCUAGUUGAUCUCUUUCCCACCCCAUGAUUUUCAUUAGUCUCAAUAAGCUGCUAGAGGUAAGUUUUUGCCCUUUCAGCUUUGAUGUUGCAUGUAAGCUAAUUCCUGUGUUUGGGUAAGACCGUGGAGAGUUCCAGUAUCACCUCCACCCUCCACCUGGGUGGGAAGAACGCAUCUCCCCCACCUUGAAUAUGCAGAGCACCUGUGCACGCCACUGUCCCAGCACUAACUGCUGAUAGCAUAUUGUUUGUUCACCAGUCUGUCUCCCCCGCUGCUCCUGGAACCCCGCCAGGGAUCAUCUCUCCUUCGUUCUUGAAUUCUCAAAAUGAGCCCAGUGCCUGGUGCAUACUUGUGUGCCUGGUGCACACAUACUUGAUACCAAGCACUCCUCCCGAUUCUGGGGGAUGAUGCUUUUGGCUGCCGACUGACAAAGGAAUAGGCCAAAAGGGCUCAUGGAAAGGCAGCUAGGAGAUAGGGGAAGGAGCAAAGGAUUUGAAGACCAAAGAUCCUUCUUUUGUUUAGUAGCUGUUUCUGUCACUCUGAGCAAAUCAUCAGUUUGACAUUUUGUUCCCCAAAAAGUGAUCAUCCUGCUUUCCUAGUUUUGGGAGAGAGGAGUAAAUGAUGUAAUAGAUAUGAAAAUGCUUUCUUAAAAAAAGAAAGAAAAAGGAAGAAAGAAAGAAAGAAAAAGAAAGAAAGAAGAAAGAAAGAAAAAGAAAGGAAAAGAAAGAAAGAAAGAAAAGAAAGAAAGAAAAGAAAAAGAAAAGAAAGAAAAAAAGAAUGAAAGAAAAAAUGCUCUCUCAACUGUGAUGGGUUUUAUGUAAGAGAAGCAUUUUUUUACCUGCCAAUUGGGACAGCCACGUUUUUGUGUAGUUCCCUCACAUUCUGAGUGACCUCAGGCAGGUCAAUUAUUUAGCCUAUCAUGGAUGCUUCCUGGGUAAGGAAGCUGUCAUUUUUGUCUUCCUGGGUCCUUGUGAGGAUCAAAAGAGAUAAUGCAUAUGAAUCUGGUUUGGAGAUUAUUAAAGUCUAUGAACUGGAGUCAUGAUAUUGUUUGAUAAGGUGGGAUGAGUAUAGGGCCUGCAUUCCCCGCUGUCCUCCACCCCGUCCCUAUCUUCCCACCAUCAGUCCUGGGUGCACAUAUGUGUGUGCACUUACUGUGGUGCCAGGAGGCAAGAGCCCAACCAUCUCCAAUUGCUGGCAGUCACGGUCCCAUCCUUACAAGAACCGGAUGGGUGAGACUCUUGGUAGUCGGCCAUGAGGACUGGACGUGGAGGACCGCCAAAGCUGCUUCUGCCGAAAUCCCACAUUUUGAGGAGAUGCAUCCAGGUGCAUAAACAGACACAUACAUUUCUGACAUAUCUGCCCCCAAAUCAGACAUCGGUAACAUUUGUCACUCUUCAAUAAACAAGAUCAGCUUUUUCUGCUAGCUGGAUAGUAUAAACAGUCAGGGUUCUCAGCUGUGCACUGAAAACAAAGCACUUCAAAGCAUGAUUAAGUAGAACCUUAAGAACCAGGAUCCUCAGUUCACCAGAAUUAUGUUGCUGCAUUUAGUAUUCAUGAGAACGAUUAGUAAGCAACACACAAAGCUUGUAUGUCAAGAUAAUGGAUUAGGAUAAUAUUUGUGCUUUGUGCUGCAAUAGAAGAAUGCACUUGAAUGAGACUCUGUUGUGCGUCACUUAUUCUAUCCCAGCUUUCUCGUUCUAAGAAAGUAGGUCGUUUAGGGACGCUUGACUGUGAACUCCUGAGGCAGCAGAGAGAGAUAAGGAUUUUGGGGUGUGCAAGUGAAAGCUGAGAGGGAGGGGGAGCGAUCCUGAGACUGGGGUGCUGGUGGAGAUGGGUGGGUCUGCUGAGUCACGGCAGCCUCACCUCCUCUCUGUCCACAUCCAGCCUUAGCAAUGAGACCUUGGGCAGAAAUGGUUGUGGAGAGUUCUCAGAGGGCUUGAGUCCAGGAAAUGGGGAUGCUGGCCCCAGUAAUAAUUGGCUUCUUCCGCCCCUGGCAUGGGCUAGGGAGUACCAGGCACUAGGACUUCAGAAGGCCAUGUUGGCUCCUUGUAUGAUCCUGGUAGGUCAGAAAGGCACAAAGAUUAAAUUUUGGAAUCAUUGUGCAGUGCUGGAGUGGAUAAAAAAUAAAUAAAUAUGAUAUUUCUUGGAAAGCUGAAUUUGUUUGCAAACUUAGCCUCCCUUGGUUAGCAGUAUUUAUUUUAGAAAUGCAAUUUCCAGGGGGUUCUGUGAGGUCAAUUGAUAUCCUCCAGUUUCCAGCAUCUACAUCUUCAGGAUGGUAGGUGGGGGUGGAGCAAGAGGAGAACUGACAAUCCAGUUUCAGAACUCAGGGUAGUGGGAUGUGGAAGAGACUGUGGUUCACCGG
rnacentral:lncRNA from 1 species